CUCUAAGCAUUCACUGAAGGGGAACAGUGGAGAAUGCAGCACGAUUUAAAGAAGAGUUCCCCUUCCCCCAGACGGCAAAGAUGACUGGUUUGCUUUCACUUAAGGGAAAACCCUGGAUUCAGUCAUAAAAAAUGAAGCACACAGAUAAGAAGCAGCUCCGAUCAAUCACUGUAUAUACCUGGAAAAUUAAAACCUAAUUAAGUGAAAAUUGUAAACAAAUUUUGAACAAGAAAACUUUGGAUUUAACAUCUGCUGCCUGACCCAGGAAAGGGAAAAGGAGAGACAAGAAUUGAACUUAAAUUACCAGAGGACUCAGGCCUAGCAGGAACAGUGUCAGCGAGUGGUCAAUCUGCCUCCCUAGGAACCAUGAAGGAAUUUCAGUCAAUGCUACCUUAGCCUGAUAUUAUACAUUUUAAGCCUCUAAUCCUAAUUAUGGGAUAGAAGACUAUGUGACAUUGGCUUACAAAGGAGAUGCUUUCUUGGGGUAUAAAGGAUCCUAGGAUCCUCGUGAUGCCUCUGUUCUUGUAAGAUAGAAUAAUGAAGGGGGCAGCUAUGUGGUGCAAUGGAUAAAGCACUGGCCCUGGAUUCAGGAGGACCUGAGUUCAAAUCCACCCUCAGAAACUUGACACUUAUUAGCUAUGUGACCCUGGGCAAGUCACUUAACCCUCAUUGCCCUGAAAAAAAAUAAACAAACAAAAUAAAAAAUAAAAAGAUAGAAUAAUGGAAUAUCAGAAUUGGAAUGUAGCUCUUGGAAGGAACCUCCAAGACUUGUCUGACACAUACCUGACCAAGAAUGUUCCCUAUAACACCCAGGAUAAGGGUCAUCCAAUUUUGCUUGAAGACCUGGAGUAAAGAGGAACCCAUUUCCUCUGGAGGCAGCCCAUUCUACUUUGAGAAAAUGCUAGUCGUUAGGAAGUUAUUCCUGAUAUCAAGCCUCUUUUACCCUUUACUCCUGGUUCUUCCCUCUGGGGUCAAGCAGUGCAGAUAUAAAUCCUCUGUUUAAAGUUUAAACUUAGUGUGUCGAGUUUUGUUCGAAUCACAGCCUGGCUCCUUCCUCCCUUUUCAGCCUUGUCACAUUCUACUCUCCUCUGCACACUACACACUUCCUUCCAAGUUACAUUAUAUUUCCCCUGUAUGUUCCAUGAACUGAGGAAGAGGAAGGAAAUGAUAAUUUUAUUAUAUAUUUAAAAGAAAUAGCAAGUAGUACAU